CGCGUAGGUGGUCUUGUAUGUCUACCGUGAAAGCACACGGCUCAACCGUGUUACGUCGGUAGAAACUGCAGGACUUGAGGCUGGGAGGGGCUGGUGGAAUUCCCCGUGUAGCGGUGAAAUGCGUAGAGAUGGGGGAGAACACUCGUGGCGAAGGCGGCCAGCUAGACCAGUUCUGACACUGAGGCGCGACAGCGUGGGGAGCAAACA
rnacentral:rRNA from 1 species